rnacentral:rRNA from 1 species
UACGAAGGGGGCUAGCGUUGCUCGGAAUCACUGGGCGUAAAGCGCACGUAGGCGGCUUUCUAAGUCAGGGGUGAAAUCCUGGAGCUCAACUCCAGAACUGCCUUUGAUACUGGGAAGCUCGAGUCCGGAAGAGGUGAGUGGAACUGCGAGUGUAGAGGUGAAAUUCGUAGAUAUUCGGAGGAACACCAGUGGCGAAGGCGGCUCACUGGUCCAUUACUGACGCUGAGGUGCGAAAGCGUGGGGAGCGAACAGG